AAGGCGUAAACCGAAAAGCCUUUUUUCAAAAGAGUAGGUA
rnacentral:ncRNA from 1 species